rnacentral:rRNA from 1 species
CCUACGGGAGGCAGCAGUGGGGAAUAUUGCACAAUGGGGGAAACCCUGAUGCAGCGACGCCGCGUGAAGGAAGAAGUAUUUCGGUAUGUAAACUUCUAUCAGCAGGGAAGAAAAUGACGGUACCUGACUAAGAAGCCCCGGCUAACUACGUGCCAGCAGCCGCGGUAAUACGUAGGGGGCAAGCGUUAUCCGGAUUUACUGGGUGUAAAGGGAGCGUAGGCGGUGCAGCAAGUCAGAAGUGAAAGGCCGGGGCUUAAACCCGGGACUGCUUUUGAAACUGUGGAGCUAGAGUGCAGGAGAGGUAAGUGGAAUUCCUAGUGUAGCGGUGAAAUGCGUAGAUAUUAGGAGGAACACCAGUGGCGAAGGCGGCUUACUGGACUGUAAAUGACGCUGAGGCUCGAAAGCGUGGGGAGCAAACAGGAUUAGAUACCCGUGUAGUC